rnacentral:rRNA from 1 species
AUUGAACGCUGGCGGCAUGCUUUACACAUGCAAGUCGAACGGUAACAGGUUAAGCUGACGAGUGGCGAACGGGUGAGUAAUGCAUCGGAACGUGCCCGGUCGUGGGGGAUAACGCAGCGAAAGCUGCGCUAAUACCGCAUACGAUCUGAGGAUGAAAGCGGGGGACCGUAAGGCCUCGCGCGAUCGGAGGGGCCGAUGUCAGAUUAGGUAGUUGGUGGGGUAAAGGCUCACCAAGCCGACGAUCUGUAGCUGGUCUGAGAGGACGACCAGCCACACUGGGACUGAGACACGGCCCAGACUCCUACGGGAGGCAGCAGUGGGGAAUUUUGGACAAUGGGCGCAAGUCUGACCCAGCCAUGCCGCGUGCAGGAUGAAGGCGUUAUGCGUUGUAAACUGCUUUUAUACAGGAAGAAACGACUCUUGCGAGAGGCAUUGACGGUACUGUAUGAAUAAGCACCGGCUAACUCCGUGCCAGCCGCCGCUGUAACAC